GUGCCAGCAGCCGCGGUAAUACGUAGGUGGCAAGCGUUGUCCGGAUUUACUGGGCGUAAAGAGCGCGCAGGCGGUUAUUCAAGUCGAAUGUGAAAGCCCCCGGCUUAACUGGGGAGGGUCAUUCGAUACUGUUUAACUUGAAGGCAGGAGAGGGUAGUGGAAUUCCCGGUGUAGUGGUGAAAUGCGUAGAUAUCGGGAGGAACACCAGUGGCGAAGGCGACUACCUGGCCUGUUCUUGACGCUGAGGCGCGAAAGCUGGGGGAGCAAACGGGAUUAGAAACCCCUGUAGUCC
rnacentral:rRNA from 1 species